rnacentral:rRNA from 1 species
AACGAACGCUGGCGGCAUGCCUAACACAUGCAAGUCGAACGAGACCUUCGGGUCUAGUGGCGCACGGGUGCGUAACGCGUGGGAACCUGCCCUUAGGCUCGGAAUAACUCCCCGAAAGGGGUGCUAAUACCGGAUAAUGUCUUCGGACCAAAGAUUUAUCGCAUUUGGAUGGGCCCGCGUUGGAUUAGCUAGUUGGUAGGGUAAAAGCCUACCAAGGCGACGAUCCAUAGCUGGUCUGAGAGGAUGAUCAGCCACACUGGGACUGAGACACGGCCCAGACUCCUACGGGAGGCAGCAGUGGGGAAUAUUGGACUAUGGGCGAAAGCCUGAUCCAGCAAUGCCGCGUGAGUGAUGAAGGCCUUAGGGUUGUAAAGCUCUUUUACCCGGGAUGAUAAUGACAGUACCGGGAGAAUAAGCACCGGCUAACUCCGUG